rnacentral:rRNA from 1 species
AGUGAACGCUGGCGGUAGGCCUAACACAUGCAAGUCGAACGGCAGCACAGUAAGAGCUUGCUCUUACGGGUGGCGAGUGGCGGACGGGUGAGGAAUACAUCGGAAUCUACUUUUUCGUGGGGGAUAACGUAGGGAAACUUACGCUAAUACCGCAUACGACCUACGGGUGAAAGCAGGGGAUCUUCGGACCUUGCGCGAUUGAAUGAGCCGAUGUCGGAUUAGCUAGUUGGCGGGGUAAAGGCCCACCAAGGCGACGAUCCGUAGCUGGUCUGAGAGGAUGAUCAGCCACACUGGAACUGAGACACGGUCCAGACUCCUACGGGAGGCAGCAGUGGGGAAUAUUGGUCAAUGGGCGCAAGCCUGAUCCAGCCAUACCGCGUGGGUGAAGAAGGCCUUCGGGUUGUAAAGCCCUUUUGUUGGGAAAGAAAAGCAGCAGGUUAAUACCCCGCUGUUCUGACGGUACCCAAAGAAUAAGCACCGGCUAACUUCGCG